AACGAACGCUGGCGGCAUGCCUAACACAUGCAAGUCGAACGAGACCUUCGGGUCUAGUGGCGCACGGGUGCGUAACGCGUGGGAACCUGCCUUUAGGUUCGGAAUAACUCAGAGUAAUUUGAGCUAAUACCGGAUGAUGUCUUCGGACCAAAGAUUUAUCGCCUUUAGAUGGGCCCGCGUUGGAUUAGCUAGUUGGUGGGGUAAAGGCCUACCAAGGCGACGAUCCAUAGCUGGUCUGAGAGGAUGAUCAGCCACACUGGGACUGAGACACGGCCCAGACUCCUACGGGAGGCAGCAGUGGGGAAUAUUGGACAAUGGGCGAAAGCCUGAUCCAGCAAUGCCGCGUGAGUGAUGAAGGCCUUAGUGUUGUAAAGCUCUUUUACCCGAGAUGAUAAUGACAGUAUCGGGAGAAUAAGCUCCGGCUAACUCCGUG
rnacentral:rRNA from 1 species